rnacentral:misc_RNA from 1 species
GAAAUGCGAUAAGUAAUGUGAAUUGCAGAAUUCAGUGAAUCAUCGAAUCUUUGAACGCACAUUGCGCCCGCCAGUAUUCUGGCGGGCAUGCCUGUUCGAGCGUCAUUUCAACCCUCAGGGCCCCCCUUCUCUCAGAGGGGGAUCAGCGCCCUGGUGUUGGGGACCGGCAGCCAGCGGCGGGGAACGUGGGGGGGCCUUCUCAGGUCCCCUACCACCCCGCCGACGCCGCCCCCGAAAUGAAUUGGCGGUCACGUCGCGGCCUCCUCUGCGUAGUAGCACAACCUCGCAACGGGAGCGCGGCGCGGCCACUGCCGUAAAGACGCAUCACGCAACUUCUCAAGAGUUGACCUCGAAUCAGGUAGGAAUACCCGCUGAACUUAA